rnacentral:rRNA from 1 species
AGACCCGAAACCCGGUGAUCUAGCCAUGGGCAGGUUGAAGGUUGGGUAACACUAACUGGAGGACCGAACCGACUAAUGUUGAAAAAUUAGCGGAUGACCUGUGGCUGGGGGUGAAAGGCCAAUCAAACCGGGAGAUAGCUGGUUCUCCCCGAAAGCUAUUUAGGUAGCGCCUCGUGAAUUCAUCUCCGGGGGUAGAGCACUGUUUCGGCUAGGGGGCCAUCCCGGCUUACCAACCCGAUGCAAACUGCGAAUACCGGAGAAUGUUAUCACGGGAGACACACGGCGGGUGCUAACGUCCGUCGUGAAGAGGGAAACAACCCAGACCGCCAGCUAAGGUCCCAAAGUCAUGGUUAAGUGGGAAACGAUGUGGGAAGGCCCAGACAGCCAGGAUGUUGGCUUAGAAGCAGCCAUCAUUUAAAGAAAGCGUAAUAGCUCACUGGUCGAGUCGGCCUGCGCGGAAGAUGUAACGGGGCUAAACCAUGCACCGAAGCUGCGGCAGCGACGCUGAUGCGUUGUUGGGUAGGGGAGCGUUCUGUAAGCCUGUGAAGGUGUGUCGUGAGGCAUGCUGGAGGUAUCAGAAGUGCGAAUGCUGACAUAAGUAACGAUAAAGCGGGUGAAAAGCCCGCUCGCCGGAAGACCAAGGGUUCCUGUCCAACGUUAAUCGGGGCAGGGUGAGUCGACCCCUAAGGCGAGGCCGAAAGGCGUAGUCGAUGGGAAACGGGUUAAUAUUCCCGUACUUGGUGUUACUGCGAAGGGGGGACGGAGAAGGCUAUGUUGGCCGGGCGACGGUUGUCCCGGUUUAAGCGUGUAGGCUGGUUUUCCAGGCAAAUCCG